CGUCCUGACUGCCUCUUUUGACGGGCAGGAGCUUCUUUACUACGUGGAACUGUCUUCUGUCCGGCCAGCGAUUUCUGGAUAUUCUCCCUGGCUCUGGCAAUGUCGCGGAGGAUCGUGCUGGCUCCGUUCUCCUGCUGGUGCGAAGAGCUGCCGGCCGGCCCGUUCACCUGCUGCUCGUAGAACCUUCUUUCAGCAUCAUCGUACUUAAACUUCUCAAACCAGAUAUUCUCAUUCGAAAGGAAGUCAACUGCCAUUUUUCUGCAAGGUCAGAGAGAAAGAGGGCACACCGGCAGCGCUGAGCCCUCCCGCUCCGCACCGCUCCGCUCGGCCUCCGCGGGGCAAAAGGAGAGCGGCGCUCCGCGCGCGGGGCAUUGUGGGGGCGGAGCGGACCACUCGCGGCUGUAGCGCGGGGGGGGGGUGGAUCAAAAAAAAAAAUACCGCGCACGUUUCGACGUUGAAAGGCGGUGAGAGAGAAUCGCGCUUUCUUCAAUAGAUUUAUUAGACCGCGUGAAGAGCGUGGGGUGAGAGAAGAGAGAGAGAAGAGUGGGAAAAGGAAGGGUGACAAAGGAGAUUGCCCCCCUUGCGCGUGGAGUGGUACAUUCCAAAUGCAUAGGGAGUGCAGAGGGAGAGUC
rnacentral:lncRNA from 1 species